rnacentral:rRNA from 1 species
UACGGAGGAUCCAAGCGUUAUCCGGAUUCAUUGGGUUUAAAGGGUGCGUAGGCGGAAUGAUAAGUCAGUGGUGAAAUCCUGCAGCUUAACUGCAGAACUGCCAUUGAUACUGUCAAUCUUGAGUACAUUUGAUGAGGGCGGAAUGUGUCAUGUAGCGGUGAAAUGCUUAGAUAUGACACAGAACACCGAUUGCGAAGGCAGCUCUCAAAACUGUAACUGACGCUGAGGCACGAAAGCGUGGGUAUCAAACAGG